UACGUAGGGGGCGAGCGUUGUCCGGAUUUAUUGGGCGUAAAGAGCGUGUAGGCGGCCAGGUAGGUCUGCUGUGAAAACUCGAGGCUCAACCUCGAGACGUCGGCGGAAACCAUCUGGCUAGAGUCCGGAAGAGGAGAGUGGAAUUCCUGGUGUAGCGGUGAAAUUCGUAGAUAUUCGCAAGAACACCAGUGGCGAAGGCGGCUCACUGGCCCGAUACUGACGCUGAGGCACGAAAGCGUGGGGAGUAAACAGG
rnacentral:rRNA from 1 species